GCCUUUGUGGUGUAGUGGUCAGCACGCUCGACGUGUAACCGAGAGGUCCGUGGUUCGAUUCCCAUCCAAGGCG
rnacentral:tRNA from 1 species